rnacentral:sRNA from 1 species
UUACUUAUUCUCCUUGUUCUUGCGCUUCCCAAUGAGGCCAAACGCAUUUUUAAAAGUCUUCUUGCUUUCCCGCCCCUCGAUUCCCAAUGCCUGACGGGCCCAGUUUUCGACCUGUUUGCAAAUUGCGAGCGCAGCGUCGUUGACGGCUUUGGCGGAUCCGCCCAACAGCCUGAUAUUGACUUUGCCGUAUCCCCUAGUAUCUAGCUCGUCUAGAAACGAGUUUGUUUUUGUUAGAAUUUCUGAGCACUUUGGUUUGAAUUAGCGGGGGUUUUUCUCUUUUGAAAUAUCCUUACAAAACACGCCAUGCGCACUGGCAAUAUCCACAAGCUCAUUGCGGGUCUUCGCGAGAGUCGAGAUGCAAGCUAGAAGGUGAAUUGGCCUAGUUAAUGAUCUCGCUAUUUCAAGGGUGGAAAAAUGAGGCCGGCUGAUGACUUACUCUGGAGGCUGUCGAGGGAGAUGUCCUUCCAGAAGGCUCCCUGAUGGACUUUGAAAACAAAGUUAGUAUUUCUCUGGUAAUUUAUAUACUAAUACCAGUUAAAUCGCGUUUAUCUAUCUACUCACGCAUUUGCAAUUGGACUUUUGCCCCAACGAUCCCACCAGGCCAUUGCUCACGCCAGCUCACAAAAAUCUCGCCAAGGGACUCGUCGUAAGC